GCCUGCUUCGGCUGCACAUGUACUAAAGUGGUACAGAUACAGAGAAGACUAGCAUGGCACUCUGCAUGAAGGUGACACUCAGGUUCAUAAAGCAACAAGAGAAAAUAUUU
ensembl:snRNA LOC120093927 U6 spliceosomal RNA